AUCUCUGUUCCCAAUUUCCCUUUUCUCUCCGAGACAGAACUUACUUGAAGGUCGAUGAUUUCUCUUUCUGAUUCCAUCUUGCUGCCCUCCAGAACCUUCACACACCGGGUGCCAGUAACAGACUGCGUGGGCUCCUCCAGGCUCUGCUGUCUGUCUCUGCUGCUUUCCUUGGGUGGGAGAGAGUACACAGCUGGCAGGACAGACCUGCUAUUCAUCCGGCUGAUGCGGGAUGGCCAUCCUGGCCUCAGCCCCUGGGGGAGGUGUACACUUGUCCACCCGUGCAAGCAUGUGUUUCUGCGUGUGUAUGCAUAUGUGUACGCUCCAGAGGCUGGCGUGGGGCACAUUAAUGGGUGGCUUUUUGAGUUGGUGGUGACAACAUCAUUUUCACCAGCAUUUCCAAUGCCCCUCCAGUCCCAGCAGAGCCAUCUGAGGUCACCCAGCCUGCUUUGAGUAAGUAGUUUUACUACUAGGAAAGAAAUCCUGCAUAUUUAUCAAGGAAUUUGAAAGUCAGCCUGAAGAUGUUUUUUGAGUUCACAUUGGUUGAGCUGAGCAGGGUCCCUAGUCCAAGGGUGGGGUAGACUUCAGCAUAGCCUCGAGACCGAAGUUUAGGAAUUUUUCUGGUUCUUUGCUUUGAACAAAACCAAAAAGUUUUUUCUUUUUUUUAAUGGUAGUUUACUUUAAUAGGCUCAAAGCAUAAGCCUUACUCUACAAAGUGAUUAAACAACAAAUUUUUGUUGACAUAUUGUUUGAUACCUUUAACUUCUCCCUUUAUGAAAGAAAGAGAGAAAGAGAUGGAGCAGGGAAAAGUUGUACCUUCAAAUCCUUUUCAUGCAACUGGUUGCAUUUUCUCUACUUUUUAAAGAAAGCUACCAGGACUAAGUCUUUUUUUGGAAAGUAUUUCUUUCUCCUGUUUACCUAGAGCCCAAAACUCUCCUGACUUCUUCCUAAAGCUCAUUUUAGAACUAAGCUGGUGUGGGUGUGGGUAUGUCUGUGAAUGUGCAUGAAGGAGGGGUUUGUCAGGGAGACGUCUCAUUCAGAGUUUAAAGAGAUGAUGGUGGUAGGGAAGAAGCAGAGUCACAAAUUUACCCUCACUAUACUUCAAAGCACGGAGUUGGAGGGCAAUUUCUUUAUUUCUGUUAAAUGUCUUUUUAAGUUCUCACCUUACUAUUCAGUGGUGUGAGAAAGUGUUGGACAAUGGGAUGAGAAUUCAGCUUUAGUAUAAUCUAAUAAGUAGAGUUGAAUUUAAUAAUUUAAAUGGUGAAUAGCCCAGCAUAGAUAGAAUAGUCUUUUGGAUUUCUACCUCUUUUUCCCAAAGAGGGCGUCUAGGCUGAGGGAGAUGGGUGGAUGAGGGAUGGUUCUUGGAAUUAUCCCAUGGCCUCUCUGUUUAGUUUCUGCUGUUUUCUGCUAUGGAGCUGCUUAGAAGGGGCAGGGCUUCCCCAUGGCUAUAUUUGCUAGUCUCUGAGGAGAGUCUGGUCCUACUCCAUACCCUCCUGCUGACACUGGCAAUGGAUGUUUAUGGCCAGGAGAACUCGCUCUCUUUCUCCAUUUAAGGACCAGUGGUCUCCCUAGUUGAAUGCCCUAUCUUCACUUUUGUGGUGACGUAGACCACCCUGUAACCUGGGCAUGACUUGAAAAUAUUCCAGACAUACCAGCUCAGUGGUACAGCUCUCUAAGGUGGCCUCCUCUGGAAACUCUUCUACCAGAUACUCAGCUAAUGCUCCUUAUUCCUCCCUGGGCUCAUGGAGCUGAGGGGUGGUAAGGAAGAACUAGAUAAAGGCAAGCCUAGUACCAAAGCUGGCAAACAGUCUUCUUAUAAGGCUAUGCAAGGUGGGUGCAGCUCAGUUUUUGAGGUGACUUCCUUCCAGAUUCCCAAAUGGGAGAUGUAGAGCCCAUUCCUUUCUUAGCAUUCCUUUGAAAAUCUACCACCAGUAUCUAUCACCCCACUCCUCAUAACAAUAACU
rnacentral:lncRNA from 1 species